UUAAAAAAAAUUCUUAACGAUUCAGCCAGUAACAUCCCACGGCUGGGCAUAGGCAUGUUUCUCCAUGUAGUAGAAAAGUUGGAGCUUAAG